rnacentral:lncRNA from 1 species
UUGAAUUGCGCUGGAGUUUAUUAUUCUUCUGUAUGCAAGUUAUAGUAAUUUUUCACUGGACCUAGCUCAAAGGGAAGUUUGAAAUAAUUAUAUGGUUCAGCUAAAUGACAAAUUGUUCUUCUGUAUGCAAGUUAUAGUAAUUUUUCACUGGACCUAGCUCAAAGGGAAGUUUGAAAUAAUUAUAUGGUUCAGCUAAAUGACAAAUUAGCUGCUUUUGCCCACUUUGGAACUAUCAAAUCUACAUAUAAACUGGUGGUCAAUUUGUUGUAGUGGUCUUAUCCUUUAUUCGAACUGUUGUUUAGUGGCGGUUGAAGCUUGC